rnacentral:rRNA from 1 species
UCAGACACGUCAGAGUUUGAUCUUGGCUCAGGACGAACACUGGCGGCGUGCAUAACACAUGCAAGUUGAACGAGAAUUUGGCGGCGGAUCUUUUCGGAGGGAAGCCGUCGAAGGAAAGUGGCGAACGGGUGAGUAACACGUGAGCAACCUACCUUACACAAAGGGAUAGCCACUGGAAACGGUGAUUAAUACCAUAUGAGACCACGAUUCCGCAUGGGAUGGGGUUAAAGAUUUAUCGGUGUAAGAUGGGCUCGCGUCUGAUUAGCUAGUUGGAAGGGUAAACGGCCUACCAAGGCGACGAUCAGUAGCCGGUCUGAGAGGAUGAACGGCCACACUGGAACUGAGACACGGUCCAG